rnacentral:SRP_RNA from 15 species
CUUAACCGCGUCAGGUCUGGAAGG